AGUUUGAUCCUGGCUCAGGAUGAACGCUAGCGGCAGGCUUAACACAUGCAAGUCGAGGGGUAACAGGAAGGAGCUUGCUUCUUCGCUGACGACCGGCGCACGGGUGCGUAACACGUAUGCAACUUACCUCUAACAGGGGGAUAGCCCAGAGAAAUCUGGAUUAAUACCCCAUAACAUUGCGGAUUCACCUGAUUCUGCAAUUAAAGCUCCGGCGGUUAGAGAUAGGCAUGCGGCCCAUUAGUUUGUUGGUAAGGUAACGGCUUACCAAGACUACGAUGGGUAGGGGUUCUGAGAGGAUGACCCCCCACACUGGUACUGAGACACGGACCAGACUCCUACGGGAGGCAGCAGUGAGGAAUAUUGGACAAUGGGCGCAAGCCUGAUCCAGCCAUGCCGCGUGCAGGACGACGGCCCUACGGGUUGUAAACUGCUUUUAUAAGGGAAGAAACUUCCGCUCGUGAGCGGAACUGACGGUACCUUACGAAUAAGCACCGGCUAACUCCGUGCCAGCAGCCGCGGUAAUACGGAGGGUGCAAGCGUUAUCCGGAUUUAUUGGGUUUAAAGGGUCCGUAGGCGGGUCUUUAAGUCAGUGGUGAAAGCCUGCAGCUUAACUGUAGAAUUGCCAUUGAUACUGGAGACCUUGAGUACACUUGAAGUAAGCGGAAUGUGUCAUGUAGCGGUGAAAUGCUUAGAUAUGACCCAGAACACCGAUCGCGAAAGCAGCUUACUAAAUUGUCACUGACGCUGAGGGACGAAAGCGUGGGGAGCGAACAGGAUUAGAUACCCUGGUAGUCCACGCCGUAAACGAUGAUCACUCGAUAUUGGCCUCCGGGCCAGUGUCCAAGCGAAAGUAUUAAGUGAUCCACCUGGGGAGUACGAUCGCAAGAUUGAAACUCAAAGGAAUUGACGGGGGCCCGCACAAGCGGUGGAGCAUGUGGUUUAAUUCGAUGAUACGCGAGGAACCUUACCAGGGCUUAAAUGCAGGACGACCGGUCUGGAAACAGACCUUUCUUCGGACGGUUUGCAAGGUGCUGCAUGGUUGUCGUCAGCUCGUGCCGUGAGGUGUCGGGUUAAGUCCCAUAACGAGCGCAACCCCUAUCUUUAGUUGCCAGCGGGUUAAGCCGGGGACUCUAAAGAAACUGCCAGCGUAAGCUGUGAGGAAGGUGGGGAUGACGUCAAAUCAUCACGGCCCUUACGUCCUGGGCUACACACGUGCUACAAUGGCGGAGACAGUGAGAUGCAAACUCGUGAGGGUGAGCAAAUCUAAAAACUCCGUCUCAGUUCGGAUCGAAGUCUGCAACUCGACUUCGUGAAGCUGGAAUCGCUAGUAAUCGCGUAUCAGCAAUGACGCGGUGAAUACGUUCCCGGGCCUUGUACACACCGCCCGUCAAGCCAUGGAAGCUGGGAGUGCCUGAAGUCGGUCACCGAAAGGAGCUGCCUAGGGCAAAACUGGUAACUGGGGCUAAGUCGUAACAAGGUAGCCGUACCGGAAGGUGUGGCUGGAUCACCU
rnacentral:rRNA from 1 species